rnacentral:rRNA from 1 species
CUACUGAAAACGGUAGCUAAUACCGCAUAACGUCGCAAGACCAAAGAGGGGGACCUUCGGGCCUCUUGCCAUCAGAUGUGCCCAGAUGGGAUUAGCUAGUAGGUGGGGUAACGGCUCACCUAGGCGACGAUCCCUAGCUGGUCUGAGAGGAUGACCAGCCACACUGGAACUGAGACACGGUCCAGACUCCUACGGGAGGCAGCAGUGGGGAAUAUUGCACAGUGGGCGCAAGCCUGAUGCAGCCAUGCCGCGUGUAUGAAGAAGGCCUUCGGGUUGUAAAGUACUUUCAGCGGGGAGGAAGGUGAUGAGGUUAAUAACCUCGGCUAUUGACGUUACCCGCAGAAGAAGCACCGGCUAACUCCGUGCCAGCAGCCGCGGUAAUACGGAGGGUGCAAGCGUUAAUCGGAAUUACUGCGCGUAAAGCGCACGCAGGCGGUCUGUCAAGUCGGAUGUGAUAUCCCCGGGCUCCACGUGAGAACUGCAUUCGAAACUGGCAGGCUAGAGUCUUGUAGAGGGGGAUAGAUUUCCAGGUGUAGCGGUGAUAUGCGUAGAGAUCUGGGAGGAAUACCGGGUGGCGAAGGCGGCCCCCUGGACAAAGACUGACGCUCAGGUGCGAAAGCGUGGGGAGCAAACAGGAUUAGAUACCCUGAUAGUCCACGCCGUAAACGAUGUCGACUUGGAGGUGUGCCCUUGAGGCGUGUCUCCGGAGCUAACGCGUUAACUCGACCGCCUGGGAGUACGGCCGCAAGGUUAAACUCAUAUGAAUUUGACGGGGCCCCCGCACAAGCGGUGGAGCAUGUGUUAUUAUUUCGAUGCCACGCGAAAGAACCUUACU